AAAUAUAAUUUGCAAGUUUUAAUAUAUAUUACUUUUAAAAAUAAAUCGUCCCGCGAUAUACCGCGGGUUAAAAUCUAGUUAAUUUAUAUAUUUUAGCUAAGGAUAAACUACAUAUCACUAAUAAAUAUAUGUCCCAUAAU
rnacentral:sRNA from 1 species